GAUGAACGCUAGCUACAGGCUUAACACAUGCAAGUCGAGGGGCAGCAUGAACUUAGCUUGCUAAGUUUGAUGGCGACCGGCGCACGGGUGAGUAACACGUAUCCAACCUUCCGUUUACUCAGGGAUAGCCUUUCGAAAGAAAGAUUAAUACCUGAUAGUAUGGUGAGAUUGCAUGAUAGCACCAUUAAAGAUUUAUUGGUAAACGAUGGGGAUGCGUUCCAUUAGGUAGUAGGCGGGGUAACGGCCCACCUAGCCUGCGAUGGAUAGGGGUUCUGAGAGGAAGGUCCCCCACAUUGGAACUGAGACACGGUCCAAACUCCUACGGGAGACAGCAGUGAGGAAUAUUGGUCAAUGGGCGAGAGCCUGAACCAGCCAAGUAGCGUGAAGGAUGAAGGUCCUACGGAUUGUAAACUUCUUUUAUACGGGAAUAAAGUUUCCUACGUGUAGGAUUUUGUAUGUACCGUAUGAAUAAGCAUCGGCUAACUCCGUG
rnacentral:rRNA from 1 species